rnacentral:rRNA from 1 species
GACAGAGGAGCCAAGCGUUGUCCGGAUUGACUGGGCGUAAAGCGCACGCAGGCGGAUGCGCGCGUGGGGUGUGAAAUCUGGCCGCUUAACGGCCAGGCGCCAUCCCAUACGGCGCGUCUGGAGUGAUGCAGAGGUCGAUGGAAUUGCCGGUGUAGUGGUGAAAUGCGUAGAGAUCGGCAGGAACACCCAGGGGGAAACCAGUCGACUGGGCAUCUACUGACGCUGAGGCGCGAAGGCGUGGGGAGCGAACGGG